AGCUCCAAUAGCGUAUAUUAAAGUUGUUGCAGUUAAAAAGCUCGUAGUUGGAUUUCUGAAUUGAAUGUCCGGUCCGCUUAUCUCAGAUGAGUGUGUACUUUAGAUAUUUGGUUCAUUUUUUGUGAGGAUAUUUAUCUGUCAUUAAGUUGAUGGAUUUAUAGACUUGCAUCAUUUACUGUGAAAAAAUUAGAGUGUUUAAAGCAGGCGUUUGCCCAUUUGAAUACAUUAGCAUGGAAUAAUAAGAUAUGACUUUGGUGGUCUAUUUUGUUGGUUUGCACACCAGAGUAAUGAUUAAUAGGGACAGUUGGGGGUAUUCAUAUUUCAACGUCAGAGGUGAAAUUCUUAGAUCGUUGAAAGAUGAGCUUAGGCGAAAGCAUUUACCAUGGAUGUUUUCAUUAAU
rnacentral:rRNA from 1 species